rnacentral:rRNA from 1 species
UGCAAUGAGAGUUGUACUAAGGUAGCGUGAUAAUUUGUCCUUUAAUUGAGGACUGGUAUGAAUGGUUUGACGUGUAAUUGCUUUUUUUACAUAAGUUUUACGAAAUUUCCUUUUAGUGUGAAAAGGCUUAAAUUUUUGAAAAAGACGAGAAGACCCUGUCGAACUUGAUUAGAAUUAUUGUUUUGAGUAGAAUCAGCAUAAUAUAUUCAGAAAUUUUAUUGGGGCAAUAUUGGCUUAAAAAACAGCUUAAAUUAAACAAAGAUCCUUUAAGGAAGAAAUUUGGCAGAAGUUACCGCAGGGAUAACAGCGUUAUUUUUCCUGAGAGAUCGAAUUGAGGGAAAAGUUUGCGACCUCGAUGUUGGAUUAUA